rnacentral:rRNA from 1 species
GCACAAGCGGUGGAUGAUGUGGAUUAAUUCGAUGCAACGCGAAAACCUUACCUACCCUUGACAUGUUCGGAAUUCUGCAGAGAUGCGGAAGUGCUCGAAAGAGAACCGGAACACAGGUGCUGCAUGGCUGUCGUCAGCUCGUGUCGUGAGAUGUUGGGUUAAGUCCCGCAACGAGCGCAACCCUUGUCAUUAGUUGCUACGAAAGGGCACUCUAAUGAGACUGCCGGUGACAAACCGGAGGAAGGUGGGGAUGACGUCAAGUCCUCAUGGCCCUUAUGGGUAGGGCUUCACACGUCAUACAAUGGUCGGUACAGAGGGCUGCCAACCCGCAAGGGGGAGCCAAUCCUUUAAAACCGAUCGUAGUCCGGAUUGAGGUCUGCAACUCGACCUCAUGAAGUCGGAAUCGCUAGUAAUCGCGGAUCAGCAUGUCGCGGUGAAUACGUUCCCGGGUCUU